rnacentral:rRNA from 1 species
GUGGGGAAUCUUGCGCAAUGGGCGAAAGCCUGACGCAGCCAUGCCGCGUGAAUGAUGAAGGUCUUAGGAUUGUAAAAUUCUUUCACCGGGGACGAUAAUGACGGUACCCGGAGAAGAAGCCCCGGCUAACUUCGUGCCAGCAGCCGCGGUAAUACGAAGGGGGCUAGCGUUGCUCGGAAUUACUGGGCGUAAAGGGCGCGUAGGCGGACAGUUUAGUCAGAGGUGAAAGCCCAGGGCUCAACCUUGGAAUUGCCUUUGAUACUGGCUGUCUUGAGUACGGGAGAGGUGAGUGGAACUCCGAGUGUAGAGGUGAAAUUCGUAGAUAUUCGGGAGAACACCAGUGGCGAAGGCGACUCACUGGCCCGUUACUGACGCUGAGGCGCGAAAGCGUGGGGAGCAAACAGGAUUAGAUACCCGGGUAGUCC